UUCCGGAAUUUUCUUAUUUGCUCGUUUUGCAGUUGUUAGUUUUUUAUUUAGAAUCACUGCUUUUCCCGCAAACACGCUGUGUGAAGUUUUUUAGUUUUUCGAGCUAUCAAGAGCCAAAGAUAUUUCACCCUCUCAGGAGGAGGCAGAAUAAAUUUGGAACAUUAAAA